GACGAACGCUGGCGGCGUGCUUAACACAUGCAAGUCGAACGGAAAGGCCCCUUUGGGGGUCCUCGAGUGGCGAACGGGUGAGUAACACGUGAGUAACCUGCCCUUGACUUCGGGAUAACUUCAGGAAACUGGGGCUAAUACCGGAUAGGAAUCCUUGCUGCAUGGUGGGGGUUGGAAAGCUUCGGCGGUUUUGGAUGUACUCGCGGCCUAUCAGCUUGUUGGUGGGGUAGUGGCUUACCAAGGCUUUGACGGGUAGCCGGCCUGAGAGGGCGACCGGCCACAGUGGGACUGAGACACGGCCCAGACUCCUACGGGAGGCAGCAGUGGGGAAUAUUGCACAAUGGGCGGAAGCCUGAUGCAGCAACGCCGCGUGCGGGAUGACGGCCUUCGGGUUGUAAACCGCUUUCAGCAGGGGCGAAGCUUGUGGUGACGGUACCUGCAGAAGAAGCACCGGCUAACUACGUG
rnacentral:rRNA from 1 species